rnacentral:rRNA from 1 species
CAUACUGCCGUGAAUACGUUCCCGGGCCUUGUACACACCGCCCGUCACACCAUGAGAGUUGGGAAUACCCGAAGCCUGUGAGCUAACUUAUAGAGGNAGCAGUCGAAGGUAGAAUCAAUGAUUGGGGUGAAGUCGUAACAAGGUAGC